ACACACAACUCUAAGCUUUUACCUCAAAAUUGUAAAAGACAAUAAUUUAUAAAAAGCACACUCAAGGAACAGGGAAGCACCAUCCUCUGCCCCGCCCGCUGCCCCUCCUUCUCGGGCUCCCUCGGCCCCGCCCCCGGAAGUCCCGCCUCUAGCCCCGCUCUUGCAGUUUCUUCCGGAACUAGAAGCAAGGAUCGCCGAGGGACGGUCACACGGGCGAAUAUUGCCUUCUAAAGAUUUACUUAGCCUGAAGAAGAAUCCUAGAAGAGGAGGAAGAGGAUAGAAAAAGAGUCAGAAAUGGCUUUUUCUCAGGGACAGUUGACAUUCAAGGAUGUGGCCGUAGUGUUCACUCAGGAGGAGUGGGAGUGCCUGGACCCUGCUCAGAGGGCCUUGUACAGGGACGUGAUGUUGGAGACCUGCAGGAACCUGAUCUCUGUGGGUGAGGAUUUCUUCCCUCUAGAAGCUGGACUAUGCCCUUAGCUCUCUCUCAAAUACAUCCGUUCAAGCAAUUACAACUAAAAGCAAACUCUGACAAAGGAGAAGUAUUCCAAAUAGUGAUACUGGGAAGACACGAAAGGAAUAAAAUGAAGCAUUUUUCCCGCUGAGGAAUCCAGGAAAUUAUGUAUGACUUUUGAGUCUUUGCACAGGUGAGGCAGGAAAUGACGAAGGAAUUCCUCUAACCCGUAACGAAAACCUCACUGAUGAGCAAAAUCCACGUGGUCGAAGUGGCACAGGAAACAAGCCUAUGGAAAGCAGACUUGCAGUAAGCUCUCAAGAUGGACUGCACAUUGUUAGAAGUGAAGAGAAAACUGCUGCAUGUAAUCAGGCCGACCAGAAUGUCAACAGUAAUGCCUCAUUUUCACCACUUCAAGGAGUUUCUUCUAGUCUGCACACCAACACUUCUAAUAUAUAUGGGAGUGAUUUUACGCAUCCUUCGUUACUGACACAAGACCAGAAAGCACACAGGGAAAGACCUCACAAGUAUACUCAGUGUGGCAAAACUUUUCUUCAGAGAUCAUCCCUCCGUAGACAUCAGACCGUCCAUACAGGAGAGAAAUUACGUGAAUGUGAUGUCUGUGGGAAAGUCUUUGGGCGGAAUUUGCAGUUCUCCCGUCGUAAGAGAGUUCACACUGGAGAGAGACCUUACAAAUAUAACGAGCGUCACAAAGCGUUUAGUCGUAAAACAGCCCUUCGAAGACAUCAGAGAAUUCAUUCUCGAGAGAAACUUUACAAAUGUAAUGAGUGUGGCAAAAACCUUUCAUCAGUCCUCACACUUCAGAAAACAUCAACUAAUUCAUCCCGGAUAAAAACCAUAUAAAUGUGAUGUCUUUGGGAAAAGGGGGGUCAAAAUGCAUGCCUCACAACUCAGCAAAGAGUUCAUGCCGCAGAGACCUGAGAAACGUAAUUGUUUUGGGAAAAUCUUUGAUUUCCGCUCCAAUCUCAGGAGACAUUAGAUAAUCCACAGAGGAGAGCAGUUAUAUAAAUGUGAUGUAUGUGGGAAAUCUGUAGCUGAAAUUCAUACCUUGCAAUUCACUAGAACAUUCAUACUGGAGGAAGACCUUCUAAAUGCAAUGAGGGAGUCAAGGGCUGUGGUGAAACAGCAACCCGUACAACCAGGAGAUAAUUCGUACUGGAGAGAAACAUUUCAAAAGAUUCCUUCUAAGUGGAUCACUGUUUUCCAAAUAUUUGAUUUCCAGGAGAUGUUUCUGUUAUUGAUUUCUAGUUUAAUUCCAUUGUCAUAGAUGCAUUUUGUAUAACCUGAAUUCUUAUGAUUUGUGAAGAACUGUUUGAUGGCCAGGAAUAUGGUUUGUCUUACUGAAGUAGUAUGUGCACUUUGUUGUGUAAAAAUUCUCUCUUUAGGUGGAUUGUUCCUCUUGUAGAAGGAAAAAUUCAGAUCUUCCUACAGUGUGUUUCUUUCCUCUGAGUCUCCUUUAUGCUCCCAGCACAACCACUCUCACACAGAGCAAUUUGACAGCUCUGGUCACCAAUGGGGGGGUGCAGGGUUCCCAUAUGAGGUCCCACAGAUCCUACAAGCCAUCUGCCCCAGCGCACUUCAGAUGCCAGUCCCAAGGCCAGGUCAUCACGUCUGCUCCUUACCCACUGACUAUAUAGCAGAGUUUCCAACAACCCCCUUUUUAGGUUCAGUGAAUUGGCUAGAGCACCUCACAGAACUCAGGGAAACACCAGUUUAUUAAAGGGUAUGACAAAGGAUACAGAUGAAUCGCCAGGUGGAAAGUCUCGUGGGGGAGUUCUAGGCGGACCCUGCUGCAGGACCUUCUGUCCUUGUGGAGGUGGGGUGCAUCAACCUCCCAGCGUGGGGCUCUCUGAAUCAACUCAUGUUGCAGUCUUACAGAGGCUUCCUCAAGUGGGUCAGAGCAAUUAUCUUUUCUAGCCCCUCAGUCUGGAAAAUGAAGCAUGGGGCUGAAAAUUCAAAGCUUCCAAUCAUGGCUUUUUCUUUUUGGUAACAGUCCCCAUUUAGGAGCUGUCUAGGAGCUCACCUGGAGUCACCUCCAUAGAACAAAAGAUGCUGAUUUAGGGAUUCCCACGGGAAUGGGAGCCCUAUGUGAGGGAUGAGGUCACAGACAAAUUGAACAAGAGGGAUUUCCAAUGCUCUUAUCACUUAGGAAGUUACCAGGGUUUUAGAAGCUGCCAGGGAUGGGGGGCAGAGGCCAAUGUGUGUAUUUUCUGUUAUCUCACUGUUCUAUAAAUGUCAGUUACAUUAAUUUCAUUGAUUGGUACUAUGUUUUCUGCCUACUUGUCUGUUACUCAGGGAGCGGGCAUGGAAGUCUCACCAUAAACCUGGAUUUGUUUACUUCUUACUACAUUUCUGCCAGUUUUUCAGAGAUUGGAGGUUCUGCUGUUGGCCGCAUAAUUUCCUGUUGUCGGGGCAUUCCUGUGAAGUUCUCCCUUUAUGAUUAUAAAAUGGAUUUCCUUAUCCUUGGUCGUAUUAUUUGCUCUUUAAUCUACUUUGCUGUUAAGAUACUCGCUGUAUUUUGAAUUGUGUUGAUACGGUUGAUCUUUUUUCCUCAUUUUCACUCUGUGUACUUUAAUUUUUGGAGUACAUUUCUUGUGGAACCAUAUUGUUGGUGCUAUCAUUUCAGCCUGUUGAGUGGAAGAGACAUUAGGGCAGGGACCAUUUCAAGGACAGAUGCUGGAGAAAGAAGGGCAUAGCCAGCCUGGUACCUUCCAUGAGGUCCCCCUAGAUAGGAACCAUCAGUGAACAAUAUAAAAUCAGGAUUAUCCACUGGGCUUUCUCGAAGGACAAUCCUAGGAGAUAAAAGAUUGUCAGUCAUAACAAUACAGUCAUGCGUUUAGUCAUUGACCUCUGAUUCUUCUGGGUGCAAGCUGGCUGGAUUAAGUUUAUUAUACCUGUGGGGGUUAUGUUUGGUGAGAACAAGACAGUCUCACGAGAAGUUAAACGGCUUGCUGGAUGUGUGUGGUGAGAGCUUAGGAAAGCUUCCACGGACUGGGGAACAGUGAGAGGGUGACUCAUGACUGUCUCUUCUGUGGUUUGACACAGCAUGGCUGUUGCAGUGACAGCCUGGAGACCAGAGGGGAGGCCCUUGGCUACUGUGUCUAGUAAAUACCCUAUCGGUCAGUAGUAACUGCCAUGUUGUUGGUUAACACUCCUAGUAUGGCACCCUUGUUUUCAUGUACAAAGAGAAAAAGGGUACAUCAUAAUUUGGAUGCCCCAAGGCCGGGGUCUUUGCCAGGAGACCCUUUAUGGUUACCACAGCUUUCGAAUGUUGUUUCCCAGCAAAUUGUUCCAGUUUGCUGCUGUUUAAGUAAAUUAUAUAAUGGUCGAGCCACUAAAGAAGAAUCGGAAACCCAGCUCCUGCAGUAGUGUGCAAGCCCUAGGAAUCCUCUUAGUUGCCUUUUUUGUUUUAGGUGCAGGGAAAGCCAAAUGCCCUUUACCCUGUCUAGAUCAGUUAAAAGCCCUUCUUUAGAUACCGUAUGCCCUAAACAUUUCACGUUAGCUUUACAAAAUUGGCAUUUUUCUUUGGAUACUUAUGUCCCUUUGAAGCUAACUUCUAAGGCAAAUACAGGGCGUUUUGGUAUUUAUCAAGAAUCUGAAAACAACAGCAUCAUCUACAUACUGUAUUAAAGCUGAUUUAUGAAGAAAAAAACUAGAUCGUCUAAGUCUGCUUUUAAUAUCUGAGAAAAGGAAGUGGGGCUCUCAGUGUAGCCUGUGGCAUCACAGCCCAUGGAAAUGGUCAUUCAUUCCAAGUGAGGGUAAAAAGAUUAUCGGUCAUCAGGAGGUACAGGGGUACUAAAGGACGCACUACAGAGAUCUAUCACAGAAAAGAAGUCACUUUUUAGGGAUAUAGGAUGGUAAAUAUAGGGGUGAGAUACUACAGAAUGGUGAGGAAUAAUAAUAGUAUUGGUAGAUUUCAAAUCUUGUACAAAUCUCCAACCUUUGCCAUUAGGUUUUUUACAUGGCAGAAAGGGAGUGUUACAAAGGCUGGUGUAAGGCAUAAAAAGCCCUUUUUUCUUUCUUUUUUCUGGGGGAAGAAGUAAUUAGGUUUAUUUAUUUACUUUUUAACGGAGGUACUGGAAAUUGAGCCCAGGACCUUGUGCAUGCUAAGCACACACUCUACCACUGAGGUCCACCCUCCAUGCUACAAUAAACUACUUUUUUUUUUUAAACAAUUCUUUUUACCUUAAUUUUUACGUGCUUUUUCAUUGAAAUAUGGUCAGUUUACAAUGUUGUGUCAAUUUCUGGUGCACAGCACAAUGUCCCAGUCAUACAUAUACAUACAUAUAUUCAAUUUCAUAUUCUUUUUUCAUUAUAGGAAUAAACUACUUUUUUAAUGGAA